UCAUGGAAGCCGGCAACACUUGAAGCCGCUGAGCCAACGCGCAAGCGAGGCAGGCGUCUAGGGUGAGGCUGGUGACUGGGACG
rnacentral:rRNA from 1 species